UGCCAGCCGCCGCGGUAAUACGGAGGGUGCGAGCGUUAAUCGGAAUUACUGGGCGUAAAGCGCAUGCAGGCGGUUGAUUAAGCGAGAUGUGAAAGCCCCGGGCUUAACCUGGGAACUGCAUUUCGAACUGGUCAACUAGAGUCUUGUAGAGGGGGGUAGAAUUUCAGGUGUAGCGGUGAAAUGCGUAGAGAUCUGAAGGAAUACCAGUGGCGAAGGCGGCCCCCUGGGAUAAUACUGACGCUCAGACACGAAAGCGUGGGGAGCAAACAGGAUUAGAUA
rnacentral:rRNA from 1 species